rnacentral:rRNA from 1 species
UACGUAGGUGGCAAGCGUUGUCCGGAUUUAUUGGGCGUAAAGCGAGCGCAGGCGGUUCCUUAAGUCUGAUGUGAAAGCCCACGGCUCAACCGUGGAAGGUCAUUGGAAACUGGGGAACUUGAGUGCAGAAGAGGAGAGUGGAAUUCCUAGUGUAGCGGUGAAAUGCGUAGAUAUUAGGAGGAACACCAGUAGCGAAGGCGGCUCUCUGGACUGUAACUGACGCUGAGGCACGAAAGCGUGGGGAGCAAACAGGAUUAGAUACCCCU